rnacentral:rRNA from 1 species
GACGAACGCUGGCGGCGUGCCUAAUACAUGCAAGUUGAGCGCUGAAGGUUGGUACUUGUACCGACUGGAUGAGCAGCGAACGGGUGAGUAACGCGUGGGGAAUCUGCCUUUGAGCGGGGGACAACAUUUGGAAACGAAUGCUAAUACCGCAUAAAAACUUUAAACACAAGUUUUAAGUUUGAAAGAUGCAAUUGCAUCACUCAAAGAUGAUCCCGCGUUGUAUUAGCUAGUUGGUGAGGUAAAGGCUCACCAAGGCGAUGAUACAUAGCCGACCUGAGAGGGUGAUCGGCCAAAUUGGGACUGGGACACGGCCCAAACUCCUACGGGAGGCAGCAGUAGGGAAUCUUCGGCAAUGGACGAAAGUCUGACCGAGCAACGCCGCGUGAGUGAAGAAGGUUUUCGGAUCGUAAAACUCUGUUGGUAGAGAAGAACGUUGGUGAGAGUGGAAAGCUCAUCAAGUGACGGUAACUACACAGAAAGGGACGGCUAACUACGUG